GACGGACGCUGGCGGCGUGCUUAACACAUGCAAGUCGAACGGAAAGGCCCUGCUUUUGUGGGGUGCUCGAGUGGCGAACGGGUGAGUAACACGUGAGUAACCUGCCCUUGACUUUGGGAUAACUUCAGGAAACUGGGGCUAAUACCGGAUAGGAGCUCCUGCUGCAUGGUGGGGGUUGGAAAGUUUCGGCGGUUGGGGAUGGACUCGCGGCUUAUCAGCUUGUUGGUGGGGUAGUGGCUUACCAAGGCUUUGACGGGUAGCCGGCCUGAGAGGGUGACCGGCCACAUUGGGACUGAGAUACGGCCCAGACUCCUACGGGAGGCAGCAGUGGGGAAUAUUGCACAAUGGGCGGAAGCCUGAUGCAGCAACGCCGCGUGCGGGAUGACGGCCUUCGGGUUGUAAACCGCUUUCGCCUGUGACGAAGUGUGAGUGACGGUAAUGGGUAAAGAAGCACCGGCUAACUACGUG
rnacentral:rRNA from 1 species